AGUAACACGUGACUAAUCUACCCUCGAGCGGGGAAUAACCUAGGGAAACCUGGGCUAAUACCGCAUAAUCCCUACGGGGCAAAGGAGCAAUCCACUUGAGGAGGAGGUCGCGGCCGAUUAGCUAGUUGGCGGGGUAAUGGCCCACCAAGGCAGUGAUCGGUAUCCGGCCUGAGAGGGCGCACGGACACACUGGAACUGAAACACGGUCCAGACUCCUACGGGAGGCAGCAGUGGGGAAUUUUGCGCAAUGGGGGAAACCCUGACGCAGCAACGCCGCGUGGAGGAUGAAAUCCCUUGGGAUGUAAACUCCUUUCGAUCGGGACGAUUAUGACGGUACCGGAAGAAGAAGCCCCGGCUAACUUCGUGCCAGCAGCCGCGGUAAUACGAGGGGGGCAAGCGUUGUUCGGAAUUAUUGGGCGUAAAGGGUGCGUAAGCGGUUUGACAAGUCUGAUGUGAAAUCUAUGGGCUCAACCAUAGUCUGCAUCGGAAACUGUCGGGCUUGAGUAUGGGAAA
rnacentral:rRNA from 1 species